rnacentral:rRNA from 1 species
CCUACGGGAGGCAGCAGUGGGGAAUUUUGGACAAUGGGCGCAAGCCUGAUCCAGCCAUGCCGCGUGCGGGAUGAAGGCCUUCGGGUUGUAAACUGCUUUUGUACGGAACGAAAAGACUCUGGUUAAUACCUGGGGUCCAUGACGGUACCGUAAGAAUAAGCACCGGCUAACUACGUGCCAGCAGCCGCGGUAAUACGUAGGGUGCGAGCGUUAAUCGGAAUUACUGGGCGUAAAGCGUGCGCAGGCGGUUAUAUAAGACAGAUGUGAAAUCCCCGGGCUCAACCUGGGAACUGCAUUUGUGACUGUAUAGCUAGAGUACGGCAGAGGGGGAUGGAAUUCCGCGUGUAGCAGUGAAAUGCGUAGAUAUGCGGAGGAACACCGAUGGCGAAGGCAAUCCCCUGGGCCUGUACUGACGCUCAUGCACGAAAGCGUGGGGAGCAAACAGGAUUAGAUACCCUGGUAGUCCACGCCCUAAACGAUGUCAACUGGUUGUUGGGUCUUCACUGACUCAGUAACGAAGCUAACGCGUGAAGUUGACCGCCUGGGGAGUACGGCCGCAAGGUUGAAACGUCAAGGAAGUUGACGGCGUGAGAGUAGACGACGACGACGACGAGGGAGGAGG